CGGAUCCACUCCUCUCCCACACUCCCUCACCUCCCCCCUCCCUCCCCCUGCCCACGCCCCACAUACCUGGGCUCCUGCCCCUUCCACCCCUCUCUGCUCCCUCCCUGCCCCCUUCCCUUCCUCCCCUCCCCUUUAUCUCACCUUCACCCCCUUUCCUCCUACACCCCUUCCGUGUCCCCACCCCCUGCCCUCAGUCCUCCUUCCUCCUCUUCCCCACAUCCCACCUCUCCUUUCCCCCUCCUUGUAGGCCCUCUUUCUCCUCAGCCCCCCUCCCCCCGCCUUUAGUCUCCUACCUCCCCUACAGCCUCCUGCCCCCGCCUCCUCACAGCCCCCUACUUACCCUACUGCCUCCCUCCUGGGGCCCUUUCCUCCCCAAGGGCCCCUCUGUUUUCUCCCAUUCCAGCCCCUGACCAGGCCCUGCUCCUCUGCUGGGGUCGGCCCCGCACAGUAAGCUGCCUGGGAGCCCUCAUUGCCUUCCUGGGCAACCCGGCCAAAGGCCCCCCGAGCAGCUGCAGCCCUGGAGGUCAGCCUCACCCUGGCAGACCGCAGGGGCCCCUCCUCACCGCCGACCUCUGCACCUUCACCCGUUUGCCUGGUGUCUGAGGAAGGGCCCGCAGGAAGAGCAUUCCUUUCCCAGGGUCUUCCUCAGGAGGGAUGAGAGGAAGCAAAAGCUUGGUCUGCAAACGGGCUGGUCCUCCCGACGGCCACAUCCGCAGGAAUGACCCUCAGAGGGGCUCCCCAACUGGCUGGGAGAUUCGUCCAGCUGGGCGCUCUGCUACACAGCCCCGUCAAGGGCAAACAGAUGACAAAACUGAGACACAAAAGAUGAAUCAGCUUGGCAGUGUUCACAGAGCCAGCGUGUGGAAAAGCCAGAAUCCAGACCCAGACCCGAACUGCAGCGUCCCGGCUCUUACCCCUAACCAGCCAGUGCCUCUCAGCUUAGUGCUCUUCCACCCGGCUUUUCUUUCUAAAAAGGCAACGUGGAGAGGGAUGAAAAGCCUAGACCCCUUAGCACGGUCACCUGAACACAAGCUGAGUGUGGCGUAUCAAGUGGAAGCCCAGGAGGGAAGAGCCAGUGGCACAGUUAUCUCCCACCACCCGACAUGCUCCGGCCGCCAGCUCUGGUCUGACCGACGCUUCGGAUGAAGAACUCCAAGCAGCCCCCUAUUCGUACUGUUUUCCUCAGUGAACUCCCAGGGAUCACCUGCUUUUUAUGUGUGACGAAUGUGGUCAGUUUUGUUUGCUUUUGACAGCUCAUUAUGGGUCCAUGAGGUCAGAGUCCUGGCUGAAAGGCCAGAAGUUUAGGGAGCCUAUCUCCAGCUGAUACUCGCUUGCUUCUUGACCAUCUUUGGGCUUCUGUUCUUUCCCAGUAGCAUAAAGCUUGUAUGAUUCUGACCUCUGGCACCUAUGCAUUAUUUAAUCAACAUUUAUUGGGGCUGUCUCCAUGCCAGGCAUGUGGUAGGCCCUAGUGGGGCAGGGGUAAAAAACCGCUGCAAUCCUGGCCUUUCAGGAACUCAGUCUAGAGGGAGAAAGAAAACACCUGAGGCCAGAGGGCUCUCUCUGAUCUGCUUCUUCUAUUUCAAGUCUGUGCUUUUAACUAUAUUGAAUUUCCCAGUUAUUAUAUCUUCUUAAUGAAUUGUUGAUUUUAUCAGUAUGGAAUGUCCAUCCCACUUUGACCCUUGUAAUGCCUUUUACCUUAAAUUCUAUUUUAUUCUGCCCAUCACUAGGGGACUAGUUGAAUCAGUUAUGGUAUAUCCUCACAAUGGAGUACUAUGCAGUUGUGAAAAAUAAUGAGGGCCAUCUUUACGUGCUGUUAUGGAGUGAUUUCCAGGAUAUAUAGUUAAGAUGGAAAAGUAGGAAGG
rnacentral:lncRNA from 1 species